GACGAACGCUGGCGGCGUGCCUAAUACAUGCAAGUAGAACGCACAGUUUAUACCGUAGCUUGCUACACCAUAGACUGUGAGUUGCGAACGGGUGAGUAACGCGUAGGUAACCUGCCUGGUAGCGGGGGAUAACUAUUGGAAACGAUAGCUAAUACCGCAUAAUAUUAAUUAUUGCAUGAUAAUUAAUUGAAAGGUGCAAUUGCACCACUACCAGAUGGACCUGCGUUGUAUUAGCUAGUAGGUGAGGUAACGGCUCACCUAGGCGACGAUACAUAGCCGACCUGAGAGGGUGAUCGGCCACACUGGGACUGAGACACGGCCCAGACUCCUACGGGAGGCAGCAGUAGGGAAUCUUCGGCAAUGGACGAAAGUCUGACCGAGCAACGCCGCGUGAGUGAAGAAGGUUUUCGGAUCGUAAAGCUCUGUUGUAAGAGAAGAACGGGUGUGAGAGUGGAAAGUUCACACUGUGACGGUAGCUUACCAGAAAGGGACGGCUAACUACGUG
rnacentral:rRNA from 1 species